GAAUAGCUUUAGGGACUACAAACUCCUUAUCUCCAAACAUCCACUUCAACUCAACUUCUGGGAAACCCUUCACAACCUCAUCUGCUGGUGUCAUUACAACCAAACGCUUUUCAUCACCAAACCUCUUCAUCUUUUUUCUUACACUAGUCUCCAGAUCAUUCUGCAGCUUCCUUGAAUCUUUAAGGCCUUGUUUUAGACUUAAAGCAAAAUCCACCAAAUCUUGGUCAAAUAGAGGUCCAAGGCCUUCAACUUCCACAACAUUAGGCAAAAUCAUCUGUUCCAAGAAUUUAAUUUGUGCUGUUUCCAGUUCUUCCUGAAUUUCAGAUCUAGAAAGCCUGGUAAUGGGGCUUUUUUGCACACUUUGCGUGCCCUUUCGCCUCAUUUCC
rnacentral:misc_RNA from 1 species